ACAGGUUAGGAUCUUGGGAGC
rnacentral:miRNA from 16 species